rnacentral:rRNA from 1 species
UAGGGAAUCUUCCGCAAUGGGCGAAAGCCUGACGGAGCAACGCCGCGUGAGUGAUGAAGGUCUUCGGAUCGUAAAACUCUGUUAUUAGGGAAGAACAAAUGUGUAAGUAACUAUGCAGGUCUUGACGGUACCUAAUCAGAAAGCCACGGCUAACUACGUGCCAGCAGCCGCGGUAAUACGUAGGUGGCAAGCGUUAUCCGGAAUUAUUGGGCGUAAAGCGCGCGUAGGCGGUUUUUUAAGUCUGAUGUGAAAGCCCACGGCUCAACCGUGGAGGGUCAUUGGAAACUGGAAAACUUGAGUGCAGAAGAGGAAAGUGGAAUUCCAUGUGUAGCGGUGAAAUGCGCAGAGAUAUGGAGGAACACCAGUGGCGAAGGCGACUUUCUGGUCUGUAACUGACGCUGAUGUGCGAAGGCGUGGGGAUCAAACAGG